rnacentral:pre_miRNA from 1 species
UAUGUACUCCCUCCGUCCAACAAAAGAUGUCUCAAGUUUGUCAAAAUUUAGAUGUAUUUAGACAUGACUUAGUAUAUAGAUGCAUUUAAAUUUAGUUAAAGUUGAGAAUUGGACGGAGAGAGUAUGUA